rnacentral:rRNA from 1 species
UACGUAGGAGCCUAGCGUUGUCCGGAAUUACUGGGCGUAAAGAGCUCGUAGGUGGUUUGUCGCGUUGUUCGUGAAAUCUCACGGCUUAACUGUGAGCGUGCGGGCGAUACGGGCAGACUAGAGUACUGCAGGGGAGACUGGAAUUCCUGGUGUAGCGGUGGAAUGCGCAGAUAUCAGGAGGAACACCCGUGGCGAAGGCGGCCCACUGGGCCGGUACUGACGCUGAGGCACGAAGGCGUGGGGAGCGAACGGG